GACGAACGCUGGCGGCGUGCUUAACACAUGCAAGUCGAGCGGUAAGGCCUUUCGGGGUACACGAGCGGCGAACGGGUGAGUAACACGUGGGUGAUCUGCCCUGCACUCUGGGAUAAGCCUGGGAAACUGGUCUAAUACUGGAUAUGACCUCAGCAUGCAUGUGCUGGGGUGGAAAGCUUUUGUGGUGCAGGAUGGGCCCGCGGCCUAUCAGCUUGUUGGUGGGGUAAUGGCCUACCAAGGCGACGACGGGUAGCCGACCUGAGAGGGUGACCGGCCACACUGGGACUGAGACACGGCCCAGACUCCUACGGGAGGCAGCAGUGGGGAAUAUUGCACAAUGGGCGGAAGCCUGAUGCAGCGACGCCGCGUGAGGGAUGAAGGCCUUCGGGUUGUAAACCUCUUUCAGCAGGGACGAAGCGUGAGUGACGGUACCUGCAGAAGAAGCACCGGCUAACUACGUGCCAGCAGCCGCAGUAAUAC
rnacentral:rRNA from 1 species